rfam:Schistosoma curassoni strain Dakar, Senegal genome assembly, scaffold: SCTD_scaffold0003261
AUCCAGCUAACGAGUCCCAAGUAGGACGAAACGCGCGUCCUGGAU